GACUUGGAGCGUGGAGGGGCCUGACGCGCAGAACUCCCAUAAGACUACCAGCACAUUCCUCAGCAGAAACCUUGCAGGUCAGAAGGGAGUUGUAUAAUAUAUUUAAAGUGCUGGCAGAAAAACAAAAACAAAAAAACAAAACCCCUGCACCAAUAGUAGUAUACCCAGCAAAACUCUCCUUCAAAUAUAAAAGAGAGAUAAAGACUUUCCCAGACAAACAAAAGCUGAGGAAGUUCAUCACCACUAGGACUGCCUCAGAAGAAAUGCUAAACGGAGUUCUCCAACUUGAGAUAAAAGGAUGCUGAACAGAAACAUGAAGCAUAUGAAAGCAUUAAACUCACUGGUAAAGUCAUCAUACAAACCACGACUUUCCACAGA